rnacentral:misc_RNA from 1 species
GAUAAUUUGAUAUAAUUGCUAUGCUUAGUCCCAAAAGAACCCGAUUCCGUAAACAACAUAGAGGAAGAAUGAAAGGAAUAGCUUUUCGAGGUAAUCGUAUUUGUUUCGGCAGAUAUGCUCUUCAGGCACUUGAACCCGCUUGGAUUACAUCUAGACAAAUAGAAGCGGGGCGACGAGCAAUGACACGAAAUGCACGCCGCGGUGGAAAAAUAUGGGUACGCAUAUUUCCCGACAAACCGGUUACUUUAAGACCUACGGAAACACGUAUGGGUUCGGGGAAAGGAUCUCCCGAAUAUUGGGUAGCUGUCGUUAAACCAGGUAGAAUACUUUAUGAAAUGGGCGGAGUAGCAGAAAAUAUAGCGAGAAAAGCUAUUUCAAUAGCAGCAUCAAAAAUGCCUAUACGAACUCAAUUCAUUAUUUCGGGAUAGGAAUAUAGAACCAAAGGAAAAAGACCUUUUGGAUGCAAAAAAAAAUCACAAGUUCCUUUUUUUUUUUUU